UACUAAGAAAAGCCUUCUCCCAGCUCCUUCACUUAUCGACAAUCAAUCUCAAUGAAUUAAACUCUUCUUUCUGCCCUGACAGGUGUGGAACCCAAAGGAAGAUGAUACGGUGUUAGGAGUCUCGACCCCUAGAGCACAGAACAAUAACCCUCACAAAUUUCAUCUAUCCUUGAUUCUCUUGAGUGGAUACUAAGAAAGCAACCCAUGCGUUUUCACGUCCUUGCUAAAACUUGGAGAGGUGCUUCACUUCUGGCAGGACAGGCUAAAACUUGGAGAGGUGCUUCCCUUCUGGCAGGACAGGUGUGGAACCCAAGGGAAGAUGAUAGGGUGUAGGAGUCUAGACCCCUAGAGCACAGAACAAUAACCCUCACAAAUUUCAUCUAUCAUUGAUCCUCUGGC